UCACGGAGGUGGAAAUGAUCUACAGCUUCAGAUGCGACUGAUGAGCCACCUAAGGUGCAGAUGUGGACCGGAAUGGCCAUUUUAUUUAGCAACUGACUGAUGGCAAGCAUCGUUUUGUUGGAGUGGCGAGAUCAAAAGCUCUGUUGGAGUAGGUGCCAAAGGGGAAGACUGGGUGUUAGGAUGCCAAAAGCCCACAACCUGAGAACCCUCCAGUGGGGACAUCUGAAGAGAAACAGCAAAAGCAUCGUCCUUCUGCACUUGGUUGUGGGUUCUGUUUGUUGACGGAGGAUGUUGAUGGUUGAUUUAGGACAGGGCACUGUGAUGUGGAGAAAACGUCCAUCCCAUUUAAGCUUUGGGAAAAGGUUUACUCCUUUGAGCUGGGGUUAAAGAUACUGUAUUGCCUGCUCUCCUAAUUCUGGAAAGAUAAAGAGAUCAAUAAAAAGUUUCCUCGGAUUCUGUAAGUCA